GGCGCGGGGGGCAAGGAUACGCAAGAAUGCAGGUUGCAACCGUUGCAACAGCAGCAGACUUGUCAUUUAUUUUAUGCUCAAGCCUAAAAUUAAUCAGCAUUUAUUAAUAUAACAUUUAAGUAACAAUCGUUUAAGAUCAGCAUUACUGGGAGUAACGUUAAGUUCUAGCUCCUAUCAGGGAAGUCUUGUAUACUUGUUGGUUGGAACAGAGAUGCUACAAGGAGUUGAGCAGUAAGCUGAUGCAGAUGGUGUCUGUGGCUCUGGUGGAGAUCCAGCAGGACAUUAUUACCAGCCUUCCUGAAAUCCUGGAGGAUUCCCAGCAUGGAGACAUGGCCAAACAACUGAAUGGUUUACUUCAGCCGAACACUCGCUGAAGCUCGCUGUGCCUAUAUUGGAUGCUUUAUCCAGUUUGAAUCUGAGCUCUGCGUUACUGUCUGAGAAAUAAACCUGAAGGCUCUUAGGCUCUCACGCUGCUCAAAGAGACACACAGACAGGCAUUUGUCUCCACUUUGUCUGUCCCCGUUUUUCCUCCUGCUGGGGUUCUGUGAAGAAGUGCAGCACCAAAGCGAUCUGGAGGAGACUGAUGCUCUGCUAGACCAGGCUACACUCCUCCUCCAGCUAACUUUGAUGGAUGAUACCAUCUUCUUCAGUUGCUCUGCCAAAGAAAGGAAAGAAAGGAUCAUCCAGAGAAACCGAACGAGAAGGAGAAAGAAAAGGAUGCCAAAUCAGGGAUCAGUCUGUCUUCGUACUGGCCGUUCUUCAGAGAGCUGGAUGUUGAAGCUCUGAGCGUGCUUCAGUGUGGCCUUCUGUCACCGACACGUUUAGACACUGAGCUGCAUAGUAAGUUAAAGGAGGAAGUGCAGUUGGGCCAUGCAGAAUUACUUUUCCUGCUGGAGAACAUGUGGCGUAAACUGGACUUUAGUUUGGCUUCUGCACCAGCCAAAAAGGCUCCAUUUCUCAAAGAAUGAGAACACACACAUAUCUAAACCUGCUUUACCCUGUUUUAUGUUUUUCUACAAUGUUGUUCUAAUCAACCAAUCAGUUAUUAUAUUUAUUAUUUUAUAAUUAAGAAAUGAAACACUAAAAACUAAAAUAAUUCAUAUUAUUUUAUUCAUUAUUUUAAUCCUUUACAUUACAAUUAUGCCAUCAUUCACCAAAGUUUGGCAUUAUAAUGCAAUUAAAUAGUUUACUUUAAUAAAAGUGUUAAGUGUAAUCUUUGGCAAAUUGCAAAAUAUGUAUUUUUCAUACUGU